rnacentral:lncRNA from 1 species
GGAGAGUGUCUUUUCCAAGUGACUCUGGCCUAAACCUCUUCCAGGCAACGGGUCUGGACUCAACCUUUUUCCAGCUCUUCUUCCUUGUGCCUUGUCUUGACAGCUCUCUCUGAGAAGCAGACGUUGAGCUUCUUUUUCUUACUUUGCCAGGGAGGGCCUAGUGCAUCUGGUCAGUUUCAGGGACUUCCUGCAGCUAUUUUGAGUUGUUUACUUUCUUGUCUAAAGAGCUUCUGUGCUGGAUGGGAUGUUUCAUUCUCAGAGGAACUUUUCACACAUUUCUCAUCCCAGGCAAUGGGCUUUAAAUUAAAACUGUUACACAUCAGGGAGCUUGGCUUUGACGUUCCUUCCCCCUGUGAUGCGGCCGCUGCAGUCAUUCCCUGUGCUAGAAAUGUCAGUUGAACUUCACAGAAGGGGUGUUGGAGGGCUGCUCCCAGAGUAGAAGGCUUUGUGCUGACACAAAGCUCUUUGAGAGUUGGACAGAAGAGCAGCAGUCCUGGCUUUAGAGCACCAGUCGCUGUUGCUGGCUUCAUAGAGCAGUAAAAUUUAGAGGGAACGUUGGCCACUAAGUGAUUGUGCCAUUGGUACAGAGGUCAUUUGGUUACUGUGUACAGUAGAUAAUCCACUUGUGCUGUCUCAUAACAGCAGCCUGUAGAAAACUCUUUACAACCAGUUUCUCUUCAUUUGGUUUUUUUGUUUUUUGUUUUUUUUUGAAACAGGGUCUCUCUGUAACCCAGGACUGCUCAGAACUCACUAUAUAGUCUUAAGAUUAUAGGUGAGGCCCACCAUGCCUGACACUAUUUUUGUUUGUUUUAAAUUCAUAAAGGCCACAUUUAACCUCUAGGAACUUGAACUUGCAGGGCUGGCAGUUCAUAUUCUUCUUAGUGUAUCCUAUUGCCUGUUAACACUGGAUCAACAAAUUAAAACAAAACCAGGGACUCUAAGCAACAGCACUCCCUGAUGACUGUCUUAAGUUUGUCCUAGACCUAGACCAUAAUUGAUUGACAAGUUGUUGAUAUUCUCCCGGGAGUAUUUAUGAUGAAGAAGGUGAAUCAGAAGAUUCAUGUUUUACUUUCACAUUCUGUUUGGGGAGAGAAACUCAUACACUUGAGUCUUUCCAAUUUGGUAGAUAACUGGGAUAUGAAGUCAUAAUGCCAGUAUUGCUUUUGAACAGUGGCCAUUAGCUGUUUGUUAGUAAUCUUGUGGCUGUACUCCAAAAAAUGAGAGCGCAAGAAUGAAUAUGAAUGUGUGUGUUGAUACAGUGCUUGCCCUUUGUCUCAUAGUUCUGAGACAGCUUCGUGAAGAGGAGGGAGAUUCUCUGCGAAGAGUUGUUGGUAAAACAGAGUUUUCUCCUUUCUGUGGGGAGUAAGCCAGCUGCAGCACUGCUCUGACAUUUGAUAGCUCUUGUGACACAUUGAAAAGUGGCUGGAGUGGCAUGGAUCCUUAAACUUUGAUUGACAUAGGGAGACACUUGUCCUCUCUCUUCUUUUCCUGUUGUUUUACUUUUUGUCUUUGCUUGUUCUGUUUUGAGAUUAUAUCUGUUGCCCAGCCUGGUUUUAAAUUCACCCGCCUUUCUUGUUCUUUUAUGUAAGCUUAUGUUUUGCUUGCAGAGCAGGGUGGCUGGGGCUUUAAGUGAAAGGGCUGUUCCUGCAAGCUUCACGCUUUUGCACUGAGUGUGCUUAAGUUUCCCAUCCUCAUGCAGAGGCUUGGAAUGGGCCCUGAGGAAGAGAUUGGGGCUGUAACUCAGUGGUAAAGUACGGCAUGUGAAGAACUCUUUGUAUUGUAGUUUAGCCUUGGCCCACAUAAAACUGCCAUGUUGGGAUGUAUGAGUAUGUGCCUCAAGUACUGCUGCUAGGGAUCCAAGGGUCGUUUUAAGUCCACAGACCCCUGUGAAUUCUCUGAGAGUUGCUUACUUGCCUUCAUUGGUUCUAGAAGGGAACCAGCAUUCACUCACUACCUUUAGUAUCUUCCUGAACUGCUUGAGAAAUAGGUUUUGGGUUUACUUUCUGCUUUUUGAGCAUCUGCCCGUCUCUGCUGCUUGUAUGGCUCAGGGUUACAUUUUCUGAACAUGUCUUGAGCCACACUCUGGUUGCCUUUGCUGUUGGAGAAGAAACAAACUACUCUCUCUAUUCAGCAGCCCUGCAAGAAAAACACAUUACUGUACUAAGCAGCCCAAGGCUGUCAAGUAACAAAGAUUGAGAAGAGAAAAGGCCCUUUAAAAACCUCUUCACUUAGAUUGUUAAUUUGGCAUUUAUAUUUAUUUGUGGGGAGUGGUGUGGGGAGGGUAUGUGUGCCAUAGUGUGCCUGUGAAGGUCAGUCAUUUUCUCUCUUUCCGUUGUGUGGAUCCUGGUGCUCCAGCUCAGCUUAAUCAGUGUCGUGGCAAGUGCAUUUACACGUGAAGCCCUGUCACCAGCCCCAAUGUGUGCCUUUAUUAGGGGAGCUGUAGAGGCCCAAACCUGGAAUCCUCCAGUCUUCAUUGUGUGAGCUAAGUACCUAUGUAGGUUUUGGCUGUUAGGAGUUGGGGAGGAUGCUAUGAGAGAUGCUAAAGGGAACAUUAUGGCUUUCUGCCUGGCAUCUACUGGUAUCUGCAUCUCCUGUGUGGUAUUUGAGUAAAAGUUAUAAAAGAAAUAGAAAGUAGGAAUGUUUUAAAUUCUAGUGUUGGUAUACUGAGAAAUCCACUACCUGUGGGUAGUGUUGGCUAAACUAGAGUGUUGUGUUUUAAGUACUUUUUCUGUUCUU